rnacentral:rRNA from 1 species
AUUGAACGCUGGCGGCAUGCCUUACACAUGCAAGUCGAACGGCAGCACGGGGGCAACCCUGGUGGCGAGUGGCGAACGGGUGAGUAAUACAUCGGAACGUGCCCGGUAGUGGGGGAUAGCUCGGCGAAAGCCGGAUUAAUACCGCAUACGACCUGCGGGUGAAAGCGGGGAUCGCAAGACCUCGCGCUAUCGGAGCGGCCGAUGUCAGAUUAGGUUGUUGGUGGGGUAAAGGCCACCAAGCCGACGAUCUGUAGCUGGUCUGAGAGGACGACCAGCCACACUGGGACUGAGACACGGCCCAGACUCCUACGGGAGGCAGCAGUGGGGAAUACUGGACAAUGGCGCAAGCCUGAUCCAGCGAUGCCGCGUGUGUGAAGAAGGCCUGCGGGUUGUAAAGCACUUUCAGUAGGGAAGAAAAGCCGAGUGCUAAUAUCACUCGGUCUU